AUGUCGUGUUCCUGCUUCUCCUCCUCCUCCUCCUCCUCCUCCAGGGCUCUCGGCGAGCCCGUCCCGUCCUCCCGGAGCAGCGCCCGGUGCCGCUCCCCGUUCAGGCUCCGAUCCUCGGCAUCCCAGCCGCUCUCGGGGCCGGGGCUCCCGCUGCCCGCUGGCCCCGGGGCUCCUGUCCCCGCUGCCGGUCCCCGCUCCGCAUCGCCACCGGGGCCGCCCGGGGACCGGGGAGCGCCAGCGGGGACCCCUUGGGCGGGCAAGGCCACCCGCGCUGCCCCGCGGCUCUCGGCAGCAUCCGCGCUCUGCUCCGCAGGGACCGAGCCUGCGGGGGCUGCGUCCUGCACCGCAUCCCUGGGGACUGGAACUGCCUCCUGCACCUCACCCCUGGGGACUGGAACUGCCUCCUGUACCUCAUCCCUGGGGACUGGAACUGCCUCCUGCACCUCAUCCCUGGGGACUGGAACUGCCUCCUGCACCGCAUCCCUGGGGACUGGAACUGCGUCCUGCACCGCAUCCCUGGGGACUGGAACUGCCUCCUGCACCGCAUCCCUGGGGACUGGAACUGCCUCCUGCACCUCACCCCUGGGGACUGGAACUGCCUCCUGCACCUCAUCCCUGGGGACUGGAACUGCCUCCUGCACCUCAUCCCUGNACCUCAUCCCCGGGGACUGGAACUGCCUCCUGUACCUCAUCCCCGGGGACUGGAACUGCCUCCUGCACCGCAUCCCUGGGGACUGGAACUGCCUCCUGCACCGCAUCCCUGGGGACUGGAACUGCCUCCUGCACCUCACCCCUGGGGACUGUCACAUCUGCUGGAGCUUCCUCCUGCACCUCACCCCUGGGGACUGUCACAUCUGCCGGGGCUGCCUCCUGCACCUCAUCCCCGGGGACUGGAACUGCCUCCUGCACCUCAUCCCUGGGGACUGGAACUGCCUCCUGUACCUCAUCCCUGGGGACUGGAACUGCCUCCUGCACCGCAUCCCUGGGGACUGUCACAUCUGCUGGAGCUUCCUCCUGCACCUCAUCCUCAGGGACUGUCCCUGCAGGGGCUGCGUCCUGCACCGCAUCCCUGGGGACUGGAACUGCCUCCUGUACCUCAUCCUCGGGGACUGGAACUGCCUCCUGCACCGCAUCCCUGGGGACUGUCCCAGAAACCGGGGCUGCCUCCUGCACCUCGUCCUUGAGGACCGUCCCUGCGGGGGCUGCGUCCUGCACCUCAUCCUCAGGGACUGUCCCUGCCAGGGUUUUCUCCUGCACCUCAUCCCUGCGGACUGGAACUGCCUCCUGCACUUCAUCCCUGGGGACUGUCACAUCUGCUGGAGCUUCCUCCUGCACCUCAUCCCUGGGGACUGUCCCUGCCAGGGUUUCCUCCUGCACCUCAUCCUUGGGGAUUGUUCCCAACGCCUCCUCAGGGACUGUCCCUGCCGGGGCUGUCUCCUGCACCGCAUCCUCAGACCCUGCUGGAGCUUCCUCCCGCACCUCAUCUUUGGGGACUGUCCCAGACUGGGUUUCCUCCUGCACCGCAUCCUCAGGGACCGUCCCUGCCGGGGCUACGUCCCGCACCUCAUCCUUGGGGAUUGUCUCCAACACCUCCCUGGGGACUGUCCCAGAUGCGGAUUCCUCCAGCACCGCAUCCUCAGGGACUGUCCCCAGCGCCUCCUCAGAGAUUGUCCCUGCCUGAGCUGCCUCCUGCACCUCACCCUCGGGGUCUGUCCCCACCGGGGCCGCCCCUUCCUCAGGGCCUGUCUUAGCCGGGGCUGCCUCCUGCACCUCACCCUUAGGGACCGUCCCCAGCGCCUUUUCGGGGACUGCCACAUCAGCCGGGGCUGCCUCCUGCACCGCAUCCUCAUCCUUGGGGACUGUCCCCGCUGGAGCUGUCGCCGCAGCCUCCUCGGGCUCUGUCGGGGCUCCCUCUCGCACCGCAUCUUCAGGGACUGUCCCCGAUGGAGUUUCCUCUCUCAGAGCUUCCUCGGCGUCUGUCCCAGACGGGGCUGUCGCGACAGCCUCCUCGGGCUCUGUUCCCUCUGGGACCGCCUGUCCUAG
rnacentral:lncRNA from 1 species